UACAGAGGUCCCAAGCGUUGUUCGGAUUCACUGGGCGUAAAGGGUGCGCAGGUGGCAUGGUAAGUUUGGUGUGAAAGCUUCGGGCUUAACCCGGAAAUGGCAUUGAAAACUACUGUGCUGGAGGAUCGGAGGGGGGACUGGAAUUCUUGGUGUAGCAGUGAAAUGCGUAGAUAUCUGCAGGAACACCCGUGGCGAAAGCGGCGAGCUGGACCACUACUGACGCUGAAGAACGAAAGCUAGGGGAGCAAACAGG
rnacentral:rRNA from 1 species